GCCUUCUUCAAUUCCUUCUUCUUCACCAAAAUCACCAUUAAAACACCACCAUUGACACCAUCAUCAUCAAACUCAAAUCUUCACCACAAUAAUUUUAAGAAUCCACCAUAGAUUUCAUUAUCGAAAUCACAAUACAACCAUUAGUAUCACAAAAAUCACAAACAACCACUAUAAAAUUCAACAUUCACUACUAAAAUUACCAUUGGAAUCAUAAUAUCACCAUUGUUAACAUCUAAAGUGACAAAAACCACCACAAAUUUACACCUGCACCACAAAUUCGUACCUGCACCUUCACUAGCCUCAACGCUGGCUCCAAUCACCGCGGUCUCCUUUUUUAUGCGACCCAUGUUUUGGGUCAUGAAAUUGAGUUGUUACUUGAUUGGAUUGGAGAAACUAUAGCAAGGUAUUUAGCAUCUCCCCAAUGAAUUUUUCUCGGACAUCUCUUAAUUUGUCUUUGGGUCUAAUUUUAGAAUGUGGUUUGGUUAUAUGUACUACCAUUGCGUAAAGACAAAGAUGUUUCAAACUGUAGAAGUAGGGAUACCCAAAAGCAUCGACUUUCACAUCAAUAUGACUAUUUUUUUAUUCUUCUUUGUUGCUUUACUAUGCAAUUAUUAUGUGGAAGAAAAUAUAAAAGAAUUUACCAUUCUUAUAAAGUUGCUGCAAGAUGUAAAGGGAAAAAAGGAAAAGCCAGUUACUUGAAA
rnacentral:lncRNA from 1 species